GUUUCUGAGACACUAUUGUAGAAAAUGAUUUGCUCUGUUUUUGAAUUCCACAUUAAACAUAGAUGUAGUUUUUUGUUAUCAGAAUUAGAAAUCCAUAGUUUGAAAAUAUUAACUUUCUUCUUUCAAAAGUAUUGCAGGUAUAAAAAUCACGCUUUAUGGGUCUCUCGUCAUCUUAAAUCACAUAUCAAAAAUCAUAUAUAAGUCAUACAUGUUUGUGCUUAUUUUACAGUAACUCUUCCUGAGGCUCGUCAUGAAGGUAAGGCUUCUGCUUGAAUGUGAUACAUACAAUAUUUAACAACCAAUCUUAAUUUAAUAUGUGAUACAUUUCCAAGAGAUACACUUUGAAGAUAGAAAGAACUAUGUUUGGUAUGCAAUAAAUCCAAUACAUUACCAAUGAGUAUUUCUUUCUUUAGGUUCUAUCUCAAAACAGUACGCUGCGGAUUCAUGGAAAGAUCACCUGAUCCAUGUUAUGAGCAACGUUGAACCAAUUUUGGACGAGCUCCUUACCAAGGGGGUUAUUGAACAGGAAAGCUUUGAUAAAAUCAGCGCUCUCCCGACCUCGGAGGAGAAGAUGAUGGAGCUCCUUGAUGAUCAUCUGAAAACUGUUGGAGACAAAGACAUCUUCUACAACAUCAUUGAGAAAUGGUUGCCAAGGAUAGAACAUCAAGGAUCAAGGUUCAACGUUCAGCUUUAUUGUCAUUAUACAAUACAGGGUUGCACAAUGAAAUGUGGUUGUAGCCCCCUCCAUGCUGCAACACAGAAAAUGUCGAAACAAAUAUUUAAAUUAGAAUAGAAUAAAACAACAAAUGAUCUAUAAAAUAGGAUUCACAGGCUUUUAAUUUUUUUGCUGUCUAACAUACCUUUUUAGAUAGAUUUAUUAAAUGUGUUGCACUGCCAUCCCUCAUUGAGGCUAAUGUAUAUACUAAAAAUGAGGAAAUUAAUAAACAAAAUGUAUGUUUCCUUAAGCCAUCUGGAGAAACAGGCCGCAAGGACCAUGAGUAAACAAUAUCAGUUGUACUUUAACAUUUCAGAGUAUUUCCGCAGUCUCCAGAUGUCCGACACAUGGAGAGCCAUAUGCCGUUUGCACGUGCUAUAAAGAUAGGUACUAUUAGAGUCAACUUACUCACAAGUGAAAUAUCCUCUGUGGGUGAAUGGAUUAAAGUUGAGCCUGAAGUGAACUGUGUGUAUGCAGAGGAUGCUCCAACUUAAAGCCUACAGUCUGAAGCAGGUCAUUUUGAAUGCAGUGUCUCUGGCUUAAGCUGGGUUUGUAAGGAAAAGGUCAGCUUCAGGUACCAGUUUGGCUCUUGGGAGGAACACAUGGAGAGACUGGAAACCAUACACUACAUCCCUGGAGGCCCCCUACUGGACAUUACAGUAAUUGCUGGAAAGUUAGACCAAGCUUAUCUACCACAAUGGAUCU